rnacentral:rRNA from 1 species
GACGAACGCUGGCGGCGUGCUUAACACAUGCAAGUCGAACGGAAAGGCCCCUUUGGGGGUACUCGAGUGGCGAACGGGUGAGUAACACGUGAGUAACCUGCCCUUGACUUCGGGAUAACUUCAGGAAACUGGGGCUAAUACCGGAUAGGAAUCCUUGCUGCAUGGUGGGGGUUGGAAAGCUUCGGCGGUUUUGGAUGGACUCGCGGCUUAUCAGCUUGUUGGUGGGGUAGUGGCUUACCAAGGCUUUGACGGGUAGCCGGCCUGAGAGGGCGACCGGCCACAUUGGGACUGAGAUACGGCCCAAACUCCUACGGGAGGCAGCAGUGGGGAAUAUUGCACAAUGGGCGGAAGCCUGAUGCAGCAACGCCGCGUGCGGGAUGACGGCCUUCGGGUUGUAAACCGCUUUCAGCAGGGGCGAAGCUUUUGUGACGGUACCUGCAGAAGAAGCACCGGCUAACUACGUG